rnacentral:rRNA from 1 species
AUAGCUAAUUGCAUCAAUGUUUAAAUAAUUGAUGCAAUAUCGACUCUGUCGAAUAAAAUUCUAGGUAGAAUUAUGAUAAUGACAUUGUUUACCUAUGUGUCUUGACCAAAUUACGUGCCAGCAGUCGCGGUAAUACGUAGAAGACUAGUGUUAUUCAUCUUUAAUAGGUUUAAAGGGUACCUAGACGGUAAAUCAAGCCUGCAAUAUGGGACUAAUGUACUAGAGUUACUUAUGAGGGGGUAUUAAAGUACUGCUGGUGUAGAGAUGAAAUUCUGUCAUACCUCAUUUCGAAAGAAAUACUAUGGCACAGGUAUAGGCGAAAGCAUCCCCUUAUGUGAUAACUGACGUUGAAGGACGAAGGCUUUGUGUAGCGAACAGGAUUAGAUACCCCAGUAGUCAAAGCAGAAAAUGAUGAAUGUCAUAGAUUAGAUAAUAGUUUAUUCUAUAAAUGAAAGUGUAAGCAUUCCACCUCAAGAGUAAUUUGGCAACAUUGGAACUGAAAUCAUUAGACCGUUUCUGAAACCAGUAGUGAAGUAUGUUGUUUAAUUUGAUAAUCCGCAAAAAACCUUACCACAAUUUGAAUAUUUAGAUUUAUUUACAAGCGUUGCACGGCUGUCUUCAGUUAAUGUCGUGAGAUUCUGGUUAGUUCCAUUAAUUAACGUAAACCCUUACUUUAUUUUUAUAUAGAGUUGUUCCCCGCUAGAUUGGAUAAGAUAACA